GGUAAUUCUGGAGCUAAUACAUGCAUAAAAGAUAUAUCAUUUAUUUGAUAUAUUGCGUAUAUUAGUAUUAAAACCAAGCAUUCCUUCGGGGAUGUUUAGUGUUGAACCUGAAUAUAUCUGCUAAUCGUAUGGUCUUGUACCGACGAUAUGUCAUUCAAGUGUCUGAUCUAUCAACUUUCUAUAUAAGUAUAUAGUACUUAUAUGGUUUUGACGGAUAACGGAGUAUUAGGGUACGACUCCGGAGAAAAUGCCUGAGAAACGGCGUUUACAUCCAAGGAAGGCAGCAGGCGCGAAAAUUACCCACUCUCAGUUCGAGGAGGUAGUGACGAGAAAUGACAAGAUCUAUUCCUUCGGGGAUGGAUCAUUGGAAUGGUUUGAUUUUAAAAUCAUUAAAGAGUAUCAAUGAGAGGGCAA
rnacentral:rRNA from 1 species